AAAUUGAAGAGUUUGAUCAUGGCUCAGAUUGAACGCUGGCGGCAGGCCUAACACAUGCAAGUCGAACGGUAACAGGAAGCAGCUUGCUGCUUUGCUGACGAGUGGCGGACGGGUGAGUAAUGUCUGGGAAACUGCCUGAUGGAGGGGGAUAACUACUGGAAACGGUGGCUAAUACCGCAUAACGUCGCAAGACCAAAGAGGGGGACCUUCGGGCCUCUUGCCAUCAGAUGUGCCCAGAUGGGAUUAGCUUGUUGGUGAGGUAACGGCUCACCAAGGCGACGAUCCCUAGCUGGUCUGAGAGGAUGACCAGCCACACUGGAACUGAGACACGGUCCAGACUCCUACGGGAGGCAGCAGUGGGGAAUAUUGCACAAUGGGCGCAAGCCUGAUGCAGCCAUGCCGCGUGUAUGAAGAAGGCCUUCGGGUUGUAAAGUACUUUCAGCGGGGAGGAAGGUGUUGUGGUUAAUAACCGCAGCAAUUGACGUUACCCGCAGAAGAAGCACCGGCUAACUCCGUGCCAGCAGCCGCGGUAAUACGGAGGGUGCAAGCGUUAAUCGGAAUUACUGGGCGUAAAGCGCACGCAGGCGGUCUGUCAAGUCGGAUGUGAAAUCCCCGGGCUCAACCUGGGAACUGCAUUCGAAACUGGCAGGCUUGAGUCUUGUAGAGGGGGGUAGAAUUCCAGGUGUAGCGGUGAAAUGCGUAGAGAUCUGGAGGAAUACCGGUGGCGAAGGCGGCCCCCUGGACAAAGACUGACGCUCAGGUGCGAAAGCGUGGGGAGCAAACAGGAUUAGAUACCCUGGUAGUCCACGCCGUAAACGAUGUCUACUUGGAGGUUGUGCCCUUGAGGCGUGGCUUCCGGAGCUAACGCGUUAAGUAGACCGCCUGGGGAGUACGGCCGCAAGGUUAAAACUCAAAUGAAUUGACGGGGGCCCGCACAAGCGGUGGAGCAUGUGGUUUAAUUCGAUGCAACGCGAAGAACCUUACCUGGUCUUGACAUCCACGGAAGUUUUCAG
rnacentral:rRNA from 1 species